GCGGUGCCCCGCCCCCGCCCCCGCCCAGGAUUUUCCGGGGAUUUGAAAUGCGCUUCUCAGCCCUAAAGCGUUCCUCCAUGCGGGUUUCCGCCAUGCGCUUGCCUUCUGGUCUGCUGGCCAGGCGGGGGUCGGCCACUUUGUCCCGCCGAGCUAUUGCGUGACGCGCCGCUACUCUGUGCAACGGGUUUCGGGCGGGCCACGCGUGCGGCGACAGGAACCCAACCCCGGCCGACCUUGGGCUCCAGGAAUUCGUCUCCUACGUCUCGGGAGGUGCGGCGGACUCACUUCGAAGUGCAGGUGACCAAAUAUAUCUCAAAGUUUUUAGAAGAAACCACCUAUACAGCCAUCAAAAUAAAAUUCCUGAAUUCAUACAAGCCACAGCAAGCUAGAUCAGGAUCAUCAUAUGACAACUGGAAGUCCAUGCCUACGGGUUAUCUCAAAUUGAGGACUUUCAGCACCUACUCACAGGCUCCAUGAGCAGAUGAAGUAGACAGCUUUACACAGUAUCUCAGACCAAGACCUUCAUCUCCAUCUCCAGCUAGCUGAAACAUCUCCCCUUCUCGACCUGGAAAAUUCUCUGACUUAGAAAUUUAAACAAAACUCUCCCCUUUCAUUUAAUCUCCGUCGUCUGGAGUUUGUUUGUCUUGCCCUGACCUCUUCUGUCUCUGUUCCUCCACUAUGGGUUCCCUUUUGAACUACGGUCUGCUUCCGCUAAUGCUUACUGCUCUUUUGACAAUUCAAGUGCAACCUCAACACCUGCUUGCACCAGUUUUCCAAACACUGUCUAUCUUGACUAAUCAGUCUAAUUGCUGGUUAUGUGAACAUCUAGAUAAUGCAGAAGAACCCGAACUAGUUUUUGUUCCUGCCAGUGCAAGCACCUGGUGGACCUCUUCUGGGCGAUGGAUGUACGAAAGGGUAUGGCAUCUACAAGCGGAAGUGCAGAAUCACUCUACUUCCUCCUGUGAUAAAGUGACUCAUCACUGGGAAGCCUUCAUGGAGGCUCAAGGUCUAUCCUUUGCUCAAGUAAGGUUAUUGGAGGGAAAUUUUUCUCUUUGUGUAGAAAAUAAAAAUGGCACUGGACCCUUCCUAGGUAACAUACCUAAACAAUAUUGUAUUCAAACACUGUGGUUCGAUUCUACAGAUGGCACCUUCACACCCUCUAUAGAUGUUACAGAGGAAUCCAGGAAUGAUUAUGAUGACACAAGUGUUUACCUACGCACUAGACAAUGUCCUUGGUUUGUAGAUUGCACUAACUGGACCUGGAACAGCUCAACGAUUCCCUUGAUUGGUCUGCCCAGUACCCAAGACUACCAAUGGGUAGAUCGAAAUUCUGGAUUGACCUGGUCAGGUAAUGACACCUGCCUAUAUAGCUGCCAAAACCAAACCAAAGGCCUUCUGUACCAGCUAUUUCGCAACUUAUUUUGCUCUUAUGGGCUACAAGAGGCUCAUGGGAAAUGGAGAUGUGCAGAUGCCAACAUAACUAAUGACAAAGGUCAUGAUGGACACCAGACCCCCACCUGGUGGCUCACAGGCGCCAAUCUGACCUUGUCUCUGAAUAACUCUGGUCUCUUUAUUUUAUGUGGCAAUGGGGUAUACAAAGGGUUUCCACCGAAAUGGUCAGGGCGAUGUGGACUUGGGUAUCUGGUACCUUCCCUCACCAGACAUCUCACCUUAAAUACUAGCCAAAUUACAAACCUGAGAUCCUUCAUUCAUAAAGUAACACCACGUAGACGCACCAAACGAGACACAGACAGUGCACCUCUAUAUUACAACCCCAAGGACAAUUCAACAGUAAGGGCCCUUUUUCCAAGUUUGGGAACUUCUGAUUUAGAAAAGGCAAUUUUAAACCUUUCCAAAGCAAUAGAACAGGAAUUCGGUGCCACUCAGCCAACCUUGGAAGGACACCAAUCAAACGUUAGCAGUUUAACCUCUGCAUCCCCAAAUGAUCGUGUCUUGGAUAUACCGACCACCCAACGGCAAACGGCUUGUGGAACUGUUGGCAAACAGUGUUGCCUCUAUAUAAAUAAUUCGGAAGAUAUAAUGGCUAAUAUACAGCGUAUCAAAGACAUAUCCAAGAACAUGAAGAAUAUACCGUUAUUUGAUUGGGGAGACUGGUUCACAUCAUGGGGCUAUGUGCUUUUAAUUGUUUUUUUCUGUUUAAUCAUCUUUGUUCUAAUCUAUGUUCGUUUCUUUCACAAAUCUCGCAGAUCCCUUAACUCCCAACCUCUGUACCCAGUCUUAUCUCCACAGCAAUCAGCAUAGCUCCUUGUCAAUGAAACUUCAUGUCAAGUUUAAAAUGGGGCAAUGAAGGGACUAACAACCCAUCAGUAUGACACAAGUCUACUUUAAUCUGAGAACGUCUGAACAAACAGCAGCUGCAGACAAAAAGCCUUAGCUAAGGCCAGGUGUGGUGGCUUACACCUGUAAUCCCAGCACUUUGGGAGGCCGAGGAGGGUGGAUCACAAGGUAAAGAGAUCGAGACCAUCCUGGCCAACAUGGUGAAACCCUGUCUCUACUGAAAAUACAAAAAUUAGCUGGGCAUGGUAGCCUGUGCCUGUAGUCCCAGCUGCUUGGGAGGCUGAGGCAGAAGUUGCAGUGAGCCAAGAUCAUGCCACUGCACUCCAGCCUGGCAACAGUGAGACUCCGUCUCAAAAACAAACAAAAACAGCCUUAGCUAAACUUUGAUGAGUAAAGCAGACUUUACUGAGAAUUCAGCUGCCAUAAACCCUCCUCUGAGGGUUCCUCAUGUAAGGGUACUUGGCACUAGGACCUCCCAAGGUGUUGUAAAUAAACCUUAUAAGAACUUUCCAUACUUUCACUCUUAUGCCUUAAGACACACCAUUGGCUAGGCAUGGUGGCUCACACCUGUAAUCCUAGAACUUUGGGAGGCAGAGGCUGGCGGGUCACCUGACAUCAGGAGUUUAAGACGCCUGGCCAAUAUGGUGAAACCCUGUCUACUAAAAUACAAAAAUUUGCCAGGCAUGAUGGUGGGUCCCUGUAAUCCCAGCUACUUGGGAGGCUGAGAUGGGAGAAUCACUUGAGCCCAGGAGACUGGUUGCAGUGAGCCAAGAUUGCGCCACUGCACUCCAGCCUGGGCAGUGAGCGAAACUCUCAAAAAAAAAAGACACACCAUUAAGCUGAUCAAUCUGUAAACCCUUACUCCUUGCUGUUCAGAGAGUCACUCUUUAUAGUGUUAUUGCAUGCAUGUAUAAUAUUCUUUUUUUUCUAUUAAUCUGUUAAUUUGCAAGCCCCCAAAUAAUGGAACUAAGUUGGGAGCAGAAAAGUUUCUCCCAACAGCAUUUUGUAGACUUCUGGAUAGACCAAAGAGUGUUUGAAUAGAUGAAGGAAUUUUGUUCCCUUGAUUUUGGUUGAAGGGUUGAAGGUAGAAGAAUCCAAUGUACACAUACACAAGACUGUCCUUGAAUUUGUCUCAAAGAAUAAAUGUUGGGUUGUCAUCAGAA